rnacentral:rRNA from 1 species
AUGAUGGGUAAUAAUAAUUUUGAGGGAGACAUCCCCGCCUCACUAAAAAAUGCCUCUGCCAUGAUGUAUAUCCAUCUAGGCAACAACUCUCUUACUGGGGUUGUUCCUUCUUUCAGCUCCAUGACAAAUUUGGAGUAUGUAAUGUUGUACUCAAAUCAUCUAGAGGCUGGAGACUGGACAUUCUUCUCAUCUUUGGCAAACUGUACACAACUCCGGAAACUUAACGUGGGUAGGAACAAUUUGUGUGGGGAUUUGCCAGCAAAUUCCCUAGAAAAUCUGCCCAAAAGCUUGACAGCUCUGACUCUUCGGUACAACAACAUCUUUGGCACAAUACCCUUGGAGAUUGGAAACAUGUCUAGCCUUUCCAUUCUCUAUCUUGAUACAAAUCUUUUCAUGGGACCUAUUCCUUCUACCCUUGGUCAGCUACACAAUCUGGUCGUGCUUAGCCUAUCAAAAAAUAAUUUUUCAGGAGAGAUACCUCCUUCCAUUGGCAACCUAAAUCAACUACAAGGGCUUUACCUGCAAGAAAAUUGGUUGGGUGGAAAAAUACCUGAAAGUCUAGGCAGCUGCAAUAACUUGUUGGCACUGAAUCUUUCAUAUAAUACCUUUGGUGGAAGCAUAAGCGGACACAUAUUUGCCAGAUUGCAUCAGUUGAGUUGGCUACUUGAUCUGUCACACAACGAACUUGCAAUGUCCAUACCACUAGAGAUGGGUAGCCUGAUAAACCUUGGUUCCUUGAGCCUAUCUCACAACAAUCUCACAGGCAGAAUCCCGUCCACGCUUGGCGAGUGUGUCCGGUUGGAAUUGCUUUAUGUAGAAGGAAACCUCCUACAAGGAAGCAUACCACAAUCACUAGCAAGUCUCAAGGGCAUCCAAGUGUUAGAUUUCUCCCAUAACAAUCCAUCUGGUACAAUCCCAGAGUUCCUGGAGACUUUCACCUCAUUACGGUAUCUAAAUAUGUCCUUCAACAACUUGGAAGGGCUGGUUCCCAUUGGUGAAGUGUUUGCUAAUAGGAGUGGUAUUUUUGUACAAGAAAAUCCACAUCUUUGCUCAAGUAUUGCAACAGAAGAGCUUCCUAGGUGUUUUGCUUCGGUAACCAUGAAUAAACACAAGUUCAUCAUUCCAUUGUUGAUAACUCUAUCGACUCUUGCCGCACUAGCUUCAAUCAUGGGGAUGUUAAUUUUUUGGUUAAAGAGGAGGUACAGAUCGAGUAAGAGCAUUGGUCGUUCCUACAUGGAGCUGAAAAGGAUAACAUAUUGUGAUGUAAGCAAAGCAACAAUAGAUUUUCUAUAG